rnacentral:rRNA from 1 species
UACAGAGGCCUCAAGCGUUGUUCGGAUUCAUUGGGCGUAAAGGGUGCGCAGGCGGUCGGGUAAGUCGGAUGUGAAAUCCUGGGGCUCAACCUCAGAACUGCAUUCGAUACUGCCUGGCUAGAGGAUUGGAGAGGAGAGUGGAAUUCCGCGUGUAGCAGUGAAAUGCGUAGAUAUGCGGAGGAACACCGAUGGCGAAGGCAAUCCCCUGGACCUGUACUGACGCUCAUGCACGAAAGCGUGGGGAGCAAACAGG